rnacentral:rRNA from 1 species
UAGCGGGGGAUAACUAUUGGAAACGAUAGCUAAUACCGCAUAACAAUGGAUGACCCAUGUCAUUUAUUUGAAAGGGGCAAAUGCUCCACUACAAGAUGGACCUGCGUUGUAUUAGCUAGUAGGUGAGGUAACGGCUCACCUAGGCGACGAUACAUAGCCGACCUGAGAGGGUGAUCGGCCACACUGGGACUGAGACACGGCCCAGACUCCUACGGGGGGCAGCAGUAGGGAAUCUUCGGCAAUGGGGGCAACCCUGACCGAGCAACGCCGCGUGAGUGAAGAAGGUUUUCGGAUCGUAAAGCUCUGUUGUAAGUCAAGAACGAGUGUGAGAGUGGAAAGUUCACACUGUGACGGUAGCUUACCAGAAAGGGACGGCUAACUACGUGCCAGCAGCCGCGGUAAUACGUAGGUCCCGAGCGUUGUCCGGAUUUAUUGGGCGUAAAGCGAGCGCAGGCGGUUUGAUAAGUCUGAAGUUAAAGGCUGUGGCUCAACCAUAGUUCGCUUUGGAAACUGUCAAACUUGAGUGCAGAAGGGGAGAGUGGAAUUCCAUGUGUAGCGGUGAAAUGCGUAGAUAUAUGGAGGAACACCGGUGGCGAA